CAGCGCCACGAGUGGGGAUCCUGUUUAUUUGUCCUAAAGCGUCCGUAGCUGGUCUAGUAAAUCUCUUGUGAAAUCAUUGGGCUUAACCCAAUGGCGUGCAGGAGAGACUGCUAGACUAGGGACCGGGAGGAGUCAGAGGUAUGCUGUGGGGAGCGGUAAAAUGCUAUAAUCCUCAGUAGACCACCUGUGGCGAAGGCGUCUGACUAGAACGGGUCCGACAGUGAGGGACGAAAGCUAGGGGAGCAAACCGGAUUAGAUACCCGAGUAGUCC
rnacentral:rRNA from 1 species